UACAGAGGGUGCGAGCGUUGUCCGGAAUCACUGGGCGUAAAGGGCGCGUAGGUGGUGGCUUAAGCGUGCGGUGAAAGCUCGGAGCUCAACUCCGAGUCGGCCGUGCGAACUGGGCUCACUGGAGCAUAGUAGAGGCAGGUGGAAUUCCGGGUGUAGCGGUGGAAUGCGUAGAGAUCCGGAAGAACACCGGUGGCGAAGGCGGCUGCCUGGGCCUGGCCUGACGCUGAGGCGCGAAAGCGUGGGGAGCAAUCCGG
rnacentral:rRNA from 1 species